UUGGAGGGCAAGUCUGGUGCCAGCGGCCGCGGUAAUUCCAGCUCCAAUAGCGUAUAUUAAAGUUGUUGCAGUUGAGAAGCUCGUAGUUGAAUUUCGGGAUCAAUUUGCUGGUCGUGCCUCUGGUACGUACUGGUAUUAUUGGUUUCUCCCUUCUGACGAACCAUGAUGUCAUUAAUUUGAUGUCGUGGAGAAUCAGGACUGUUACUUUGAAAAAAUUAGAGUGUUUAAAGCAGGCAUUAGCUUGAGUACAUUAGCAUGGAAUAAUGAAAUAGGACGUUUGAUCUUAUUUUGUUGGUUUCUAGGAUUGACGUAAUGAUUAAUAGGGAUAGUUGGGGGCAUUAGUAUUCAAUUGUCAGAGGUGAAAUUCUUGGAUUUAUUGAAGACUAACUACUGCGAAAGCAUUUGCCAAGGAUGUUUUCAUUAAUCAAGAACGAAAGUUAGGGGAUCGAAGACGAUCAGAUACCGUCGUAGUCUUAACCAUAAACUAUGCCGACUAGGGAUCGGAUGAUGUUAAUUUUUUAAUGACUCAUUCGGCGCCUUACGGGAAACCAAAGUGUUUGGGUUC
rnacentral:rRNA from 1 species